ACGGUCCUAAGGUAGCGAAAUUCCUUGUCGGGUAAGUUCCGACCCGCACGAAAGGUGUAACGAUUUGGGCACUGUCUCAACGAGGGACCCGGUGAAAUUGAAAUACCUGUGAAGAUGCAGGUUACCCGCGACUGGACAGAAAGACCCCAUGGAGCUUUACUGUAACCUGACAUUGGGUUUUGUUGUAUUACGUACAGGAUAGGUGGGAGGCUUGGAAGGCUGGACGCUAGUCUGGCUGGAGCCGGCGUUGGGAUACCACCCUUGAUACAACGGAAUUCUAACCGAGAGAGUAACGAAAUCCGGGACAGUGUCAGGCGGGCAGUUUGACUGGGGCGGUCGCCUCCGAAAGAGUAACGGAGGCGCCCAAAGGUUCCCUCAGCGCGGCCGGAAAUCGCGCGAAGAGUGUAAAGGCAGAAGGGAGCUUGACUGCGAGCCAAACACGGCGAGCAGGUACGAAAGUAGGGCUUAGUGAUCCGGUGGUACCGAGUGGAAGGGCCAUCGCUCAACGGAUAAAAGCUACCCUGGGGAUAACAGGCUAAUCUCUCCCAAGAGUCCAUAUCGACGGGGAGGUUUGGCACCUCGAUGUCGGCUCAUCACAUCCUGGGGCUGAAGUCGGUCCCAAGGGUUGGGCUGUUCGCCCAUUAAAGUGGUACGUGAGCUGGGUUCAGAACGUCGUGAGACAGUUCGGUCCCUAUCCAUCGCGGGCGCAAGAGAUUUGAAGGGGGCUGCUCCUAGUACGAGAGGACCGGAGUGGACGAACCGCUGGUGUACCAAUUAUCCCGCCAGGGGUACAGUUGGGUAGCUACGUUCGGAAAGGAUAAACGCUGAAAGCAUCUAAGCGUGAAACCAGCCUUAAGAUGAGAUCUCUCAUAGAGCAAUCUAGUAAGACACCUUAAAGAAGAUGAGGUUGAUAGGUCGGGAGUGUAAGUACAGCAAUGUAUUGAGCGGACCGAUACUAAUAUGUCGAGGGCUUGACUUA
rnacentral:rRNA from 1 species